rnacentral:rRNA from 1 species
UACGGAGGGUGCAAGCGUUAUCCGGAUUCACUGGGUUUAAAGGGUGCGUAGGUGGGCAAGUAAGUCAGCGGUGAAAUCUCCGGGCUUAACCCGGAAACUGCCAUUGAUACUAUUUGUCUUGAAUACUGUGGAGGUCAGCGGAAUAUGUCAUGUAGCGGUGAAAUGCUUAGAUAUGACAUAGAACACCAAUUGCGAAGGCAGCUGGCUACACAAAUAUUGACACUGAGGCACGAAAGCGUGGGGAUCAAACAGG